GCAUUGUUGGUUCAGUAGUAAAAUUCUCGCCUCCCAUCCGGGUGACCCGGGUUCUAUUCCCGAACAGUUCA
rnacentral:tRNA from 1 species